rnacentral:lncRNA from 1 species
GGGUGAUACAACUCCAAACUGUUAGAAAUUUUCCAACUUUAUUCAGAACCAAUUUUAGAGGUGAGGAAGACUGGUUUUGCUUGUAUUAAAAUCUGUAUGACUUUAUUUGCCACCUGUGAAAUUUGUUGGGUGAAAACCCAACCUCUGAAACACAGCUGAAUGUGACUAUUGAAAUUUUUGUUUUAUAUUAAAUGCUUUCUGUGAUUUAUGUGAUAAUGACUGUAAAUCCAUUGUGCCCAAGGAAGACAUUUCUCAGGAGCAAAAUGCAAACUCAGACAUACAUGAAAUACACUGUGCCAAGGAUCGAAGAACCAAAGGUGAUUUUUUUAUCUGAUUGCAAUUCUAAUAUGCAGUGGAUCAAGAUUUGAAAUGUUUAGGUACUUUAGACUUGUUGCAGUACUUACUGACGCUCAUACAGUAUUCCCUGACUUUAUAGAUGUUACAUUUUAAGAAUAAUGUUGCUAUUCACCCAGCAUUUAUUGUCCAACUUACUGAUCUCCUUUGGAGCAAACAAUGACUUCACAGCCAAAUCACAUUUGACAGUGACUUCAGGAGAAGUGCAGGCUUAUGUAAUUCAAACAGAGAGUUUGUGCAGAAAACGUCUCAAGUCAGGGAAGAAAAAUGGCAGAACUUUGGGAAAACUCUUAAAAAUUCUGCUGAAAUGUGGCACUUGCAGCUUCUCAUAUUCCACUGGUCAAGCAAGUCACAGAGCCAAGAGUGACAUCAAUAAGACACAGAAGUAUAUAUAGUAAUGGUCAUAGAUACAGUAUCCUCUUCCAGGUCUGCAAAUAAUGGCAGCAAUAGGAAAUGCUUCAAUUCGUUUAUGUACUGAGAAUCUGAAAUGAAAAUCAACAUACAGGAAGAAUGACUUUUGCAUCCUAUCUAAGCCAUCACUUAUUUAAGAUGUUGAAAACAAUAUUUUCUUGCACUAAUGUGAGCAUGGUACUCCCUAAUUUAGGACUGGUAAGUGCAACCUAACUGGAUAAAAUGGUG